rnacentral:rRNA from 1 species
UACGUAGGGUGCAAGCGUUAAUCGGAAUUACUGGGCGUAAAGCGUGCGCAGGCGGUUGUGCAAGACAGAUGUGAAAUCCCCGGGCUCAACCUGGGAAUUGCAUUUGUGACUGCACGGCUAGAGUGUGUCAGAGGGGGUAGAAUUCCACGUGUAGCAGUGAAAUGCGUAGAGAUGUGGAGGAAUACCGAUGGCGAAGGCAGCCCCCUGGGACUA